UAAAAUAUGUAGGUGUCAGCUGAAAGAAGAUUCAGCUUUGUUUCUUAGAUAGGAAAAAAUUACAGCAUGCUUGUCUACCGAUGGAGAUGAUGGAGGAAGAGGGGGAAAUGAUUACACAGGCGAGCAGAGAGGAACCCGGCAGAAUGAUGCGUGGAGGCGGCGAGAAGUCACAGCGCCUGCGCACAGUGCACGAGAAGGGGAGGCUGGGAGGGUGGUGGAGCCCCCGCCGGGGUCAGACCAAUUAAGAGGAUGGCCAACGUCCCUGCCCUCCUGCACAACCCUUCUGAUUAGGGAAAUGGACAAGCAGAAGGUAAACUCAUGAAGUGGCUGAGGACGUGUGCUACGGCAGGAUCCCAGUGGUGAUGGUUUCUAAAUAUAACCAAGAGCUGCCAUUGUGAAAAGCCUGAAGGAAGAGGAUUCCAAGCGGCAGAGCAGCAGGUUCAAGGUUCUGAGUGGGGAGAGAGUCUGGCUCCUCUGUACAGGAUUUGCUGCAAUGUCCCCAGUAUGGAGCCCAGUUGUCACCCUGCCACGAGCACCCAGGGCUUCAGAUGAGCAGCAAGGCAAGUGCUGUCGGUGACCACUGACAGGCACCCAGGAGCCUGGACUUCAAGCUCCCAGGAGAGGCUCUGGUUCACAGGGCAGAGGCCUGCAUCUAGAUUGUAGAGCUGUGUUGUUUGUCCUACAUGAAAAACCAAAACAAAUUAAAGAAAAACUUUCAUCUUC